GACGAACGCUGGCGGCGUGCUUAACACAUGCAAGUCGAACGGAGGAUUUAUUUCGGUAAAUCCUUAGUGGCGAACAGGUGAGUAACGCGUGGGCGACCUGCCCUUCAGAUGGGGACAACAUCCCGAAAGGGGUGCUAAUACCGAAUACGAUCGUUUUCCCGCAUGGGGAUGCGAUGAAAGAUGGCCUCUAUUUAUAAGCUAUCGCUGAAGGAUGGGCCUGCGUCUGAUUAGCUAGUUGGUGGGGUAACGGCCUACCAAGGCGAUGAUCAGUAGGCGGUCUGAGAGGAUGAACGGCCACAUUGGGACUGAGACACGGCCCAAACUCCUACGGGAGGCAGCAGUGGGGAAUAUUCCGCAAUGGACGAAAGUCUGACGGAGCAACGCCGCGUGAGUGAUGAAGGUUUUCGGACUGUAAAGCUCUGUUGUUCAGGACGAAAGUGCCUGUUGCGAACAGUUACAGGUAUUGACGGUACUGAACGAGGAAGCCACGGCUAACUACGUGCCAGCAGCCGCUGUAACAC
rnacentral:rRNA from 1 species